rnacentral:lncRNA from 1 species
AGGAUGGAACAGUUCGAUAUUUUCAAGCCUGGUACCCAUGCCAAGAUUGGGGGAACUCUUGUUGCCUUUGCUGGUGCAACACUCAUGACCCUCUACAAAGGCAUUGCUGUAAUUACAACUCACACUAAAAGCUCCCAUCAAACUGCAGCUACCUCAAAAUCAUCCACAGAUGCAGACUGGAUAAAGGGCUCCCUUGUCCUUAUUGUUGCAUAUAGUUCAUUAGCAGCAUUCUAUAUCUUACAGGUAGUGUUUUGAUCACAAGCAAUACUGUAUCACAUGUACAACUUUCUCUUAGAUUACAGUUACUUAAAAUACUCAUGUGCAGACAUCAACAAUCAAAAUGUAUCCAGCACCAAUCACUCUUACAUCACUGACCUGCUUAUCUGGGACACUGCUCUCAACAAUCAUGGCAGCAAUUCCAGAUCACAAAGCCUCUUCUUGGAAGUUAUCAUGGAACACAAUUCUUGCUCCUAUGUAUAGCGUAAGAAAUCGGUCACACGUCUUGAACUGUCUCAUGCCUAUGAUUUACUGUCUAUGAAAAUUAAUUUGAUGAGGUGAAAUGUUUGCAGGGAAUUGUGAUUUUUGGAAUCACUGUAUAUGUUCAGACCUUGGUAGUAAGUACAAAAGGCCCAGUUUUCAUGACAGCUUUUAGACCACUGGGGACCAUUUUUGUAGCUAUAAUGGGAGUAUUCCUCUUAGGAGAAGCUACAUACUUGGGAAGGUAUGUUUGUUGACAUGAUGUAUUGUUGAAUCAUUUUAUCUUGUGAGUUUUAAAUGUUUUCACUUUUCAGUGUUUUGGGAUCUUUGUUGGUAUUUCUUGGUUUGUAUGCAACUCUUUGGGGAAAGAAAAAAGAGAUGGAGAAGAAGUCAAUUGAUCAUGGUAUAUCUCAGCAAGCUCAUGAGCUCAAUCUAGAAAGGUAAAAGAGAAAAUAAUCUCCCUAUUGAAGUUGUAAUAUAGUCAUUGUAUAAUACAAGUUAUAUAUAUGAUCUUGUGGAUUUAUAUAGUAGGUGAUGUAUAUGUUGCCUUUCAUGUACCUCCCUCAUGAAAAGAGUGUCCUCUUUCUCUCAUCUGUAUCAAAUCCUAAAUGCUAAUUACUUCAAAAUUAUCAUACAAGUUUCAUAUGUUUAGCCAUGUAUCUGUAAUGAAAAAAAUAAAAGGGUAUGUAUGUUCAACCAUGUAGCUGCAGUAAGAGGGAGAGAGUAAUCCUAUGAGAAUAUGUUUUCUUAUGUAUGCUUUUUUCAACUCAUAAUUGCAGUUCACUCUGAGGUUAUCAACUUUGUUCUUCUUGUAUCUCCUGGUUCAUAUUCCCUAAGGUUGAGUCUAAACAUUGUUCGAGAUUUUCAUGCCGGCUUUUUUAUAACUAACUUCUUUGUGAAAUAGUAGCUCAUCUGCUCGGUUUCUUUCCCAUGGCUGGGAAAAUGUCUUCUUUUUUUUCAUAUUGUUAGCCUUGACGAGGGAGAUUGUAUUUCUCCACAUGGUCCACACCUAUACAAGGGCAUUACUAGUAUUUCAAAUCACACACAAACGAGCUGCAUAUUUCCUUGUUCAUUCACUUCAUUAUCUGGAUUCUACAUCUUACAGAUGCUUGAAAGACACUAGUGGUACUACUAGUAUCAUUAUCGGCAUACAAUACUGUGUCAUAUAGUAUUGGAGGAACAACUUCAGCAUAACAAUUUACAUAUACUCGUAUACCCGGCAUGAACUAGAACCAGCUUUUAUAAACUUUAUGAACUCCCUUCGCUUAUGAUUCAAGGCUCAAGACCUUUUUGUUGUAGGCAACUGCACCAUUGUAUAUGGUACUCUAUACGAGUUCACAAAUGGAAAGAUAUUCCUAUAUGCUGCAUGGUGCAACAUGGCGUUCCUCAUAAGAGCUUCCAUCAGUUCUAAUACAAAAACAGUGUAAUCUGUACAUGUAUAAGGUGACAAAAUGUAUUUUAUUCUAAUUUUUUUUUUUUUGGUUUUUCAUAGGGUUAUACUACUCUGUUAUGUUUGUGGGAAAGCACCAUCAUCGACAAUUCAUCAAAGAUUUUGCAGCACGGUUAACAGGACUACAUAGUUUUUUGUUUGAAUAUAAUUAGAUGCAUCCUUUAUUUUAUUUUAUCUGAAUUUAACUUUCAAGUUCUAAUCAUUUCUCUCACUGUUUAAUUUCAUUUAAUUGGGAAGUAGCUAAUAACAACAACAGCAACAACAGUAAAUCAUAAUUCCUGUGUAACAUUAUCUAUACAAUUCUAUAGAGAAAGGAAACUUUGGUGUCUGUAAAAGCAACCUGCUUAGCUCACAAGGUAAAUAGGGGCACUUUACUGGUACUUCCAGUUGACAAAACAAAGUGGUAUCUGUCAACGCACAAUAUCGUUUUUUACAGUUCUGUACAUAUUUUUGUUAUGCUGGGAUUUUUGUACGCAGAUUUUUCACUUUGUCUUUGCUUUUUUGUUUCCGCUUCUAGCUUUCAAGUUCCGAGUAUUGUUGUAUAUACCCUUUUGUUUUUUGGGAAAUGGAGUCCUAGAUAUCCUUUAGAGGUUAGAGAUUUAACCUCUAGCCUUGGUCUAGAGAUUUAACAACCAUGACUACAUAAUAAUAGUGUAUAUUUUUCUCAAAAAAGAAAAGAAAAAAACAGAAAAAACCGGUCUAAAUAGCAGAAGGUUGAUUAGGUUCUCAAGAGACUUCUAUAGAGGUCUGAAAUUAUUGAGUUAACUUACUGUAUGAGACACAUCGCAAACAGUGACUAAUCCAUAAUACUCUGAAGUAUAGUAAAUUUUACACGGGAGAGUAAUCUUAUCUACUUUCACACACUCUAUGGUCUGUGCAGCUGUGCAUACAGCCACCAUUCUUGAGUGAAAAACAUAAAGCUCCAAUGAGCAAGUGAAGAACUUUGGAGGUAAACUCUCCUUUAUAGACACAUGCUUUGUUAUUUUUCAUUUGAAUGAGUUGGUUGUACUGUGAAAUUCUAACUAUUUUGUUUGAAUGAGUUUUGUGCUGAAUUACUUUUAAUUAAGUAAGAGCAGUGAACAGCAACAAAUUCGAAAGCAUAUAUAUGAUUCCUGGUGAAGAAAAAGCUUAUACAGUAACUUGGUGUCAUACACACUCUUGAACCAUUUCAGUAUUGUGAGAUAACGUAAACACACUAUUGUAUACACACUCUUCAUACAAUUCUAUAAAGAAAGGAGACUUUGGAGUCUAUAGAACAACCUAGAAAUGAGCUCACUCGUGUUCGAUCACUAGGAGCACUUACUUAAUGGUAUCUUUUUCUGCAAUUCUGCAUAUCUUCUUGUCCUGCAGGGGGAUUUCUCAUGUGCACAUUUUGCACUUUUGUUUGCUCCUGUGUCUAUGGAUCAAGUACCAUAAAAUAUCAAGGGUGUGAUGGAUUUGGGAGCAUCUCAUUAUCAAAAAGAAGCUUUAUAUACUAAAACUGAGUGGAAUUUAUGGUAGACCGACUGGUCUGAAUAUAAUUGAGACCAUUAUUGGCAAAAGAAAGCAGUUCUUGAGGUGAUUAUAACAUAGACUCAUACUCUCAUAGUCACUCAGCACUUGCCUUAUUUUAAAUGAAGUGGAAUUAUAGUAAGAUGUGAGAGUGAAACAUAUUGGAGCUAGAGACAAAGAACUAUAUAUUCGCACUAGUUAGAUAAUUUGCAGCUGAAAAUUGAUGUUAAAAGGAAGUCAGAGGGGAACAAUAUGCAAAUUAAUAGUAAUGCAGAUGGAAGAGCAAGAGAAAGUGGGAGGAGGCAGUAAGAGGGAUAGACUAAUCAAAGAGUCGAAACCCUACAUCCUGUGUAUAUUUUGCUGACAUCUUCAUCAUGACUGACAACUCUGAGAAAUACUUAUUAAGUUUUCUUGUGUUUCUCAUGGCAGGAAAAAUAAGAGCAAAAUCAACGUUUCGAUCUUGCGAAAUGUCUUUUUCUUAGGCCUGCUAGAGUGAGUGGACAAAACACUUCAUUUUUUAAUCACUGAAUAAGUUUUGAAAAAUGCAGAUUUGAAUUAACUUCAUUAGCUUGUGAAUCUCAGAGUGUUGGGAAGAACACUGUACUACAUGGGAUUGGAAUACACUUCACCAACUUUUGCUUCUGCUUUGUCGAACAUGAUUCCAUCUAUUACCUUUAUCUCAACUGUUUUGUGCAGGUAUUAGUAAUAGUAUAAUCUGGUAUGUGGUCAAUGAUACNNNNNNNNNNNNNNNNNNNNNNNNNNNNNNNNNNNNNNNNNNNNNNNNNNNNNNNNNNNNNNNNNNNNNNNNNNNNNNNNNNNNNNNNNNNNNNNNNNNNNNNNNNNNNNNNNNNNNNNNNNNNNNNNNNNNNNNNNNNNNNNNNNNNNNNNNNNNCUGGUGCAACAUUCAUGACCCUCUACAAAGGCAUUGCUGUAAUUACAACUCACACUAAAAGCUCCCAUCAAACUGCAGCUACCUCAAAAUCAUCCACAGAUGCAGACUGGAUAAAGGGCUCCCUUGUCCUUAUUGUUGCAUAUAGUUCAUUAGCAGCA